GUUGAGAACUGUUCUGCGCAUGUGUCCUGGGAUUACUAGAUUGCGCCUACUUUGUCAUCCAGUUUUAGCCAUACCCUACCUUCCUACCUCAGUAGGAUAUGAUUUGGUGAUUCUAUAUGCUAACCUGUAGAGGAGAGUCUGUAUUAGGAAAGACGUGGAGAAGAACCAUGCGUUCUCCCUCUGCUAUGCAUUAGAACUCUAGGAAGAAAGUGACAAAUUCAAAGAUGGAGAUAGAAUGAAGCUAAAGAACAAUCACUUGCCUGAGGCCAUUUGAGGAAAAAAACCAAGAAGUGCUGAUGAUAGAAUCUGGAUGUUGCACUUGCUAGUGCUCUCUUUAUAGCUGUGGACAGAUGUGAACAGUCCAUUGCCAUGGACUCCUUAGACUAUUUUGGCAUUUGACAGAGCAACAGUUUCACUGUCUGUGUGUGAUUUCAGAGGAAAACAAGACCUAAAAGAAAGAUUUCAUGAAAAAUACAUCAUCAUAACAUUGAUGUAUGGACCCUGUAACAUCCAAUUUCUUAAAGGCAUCUGUAGCUACUAAGGAUGCUGGUCAUGCCCUCAUCAACACACGGACAAUAUAAAUGAGAUGAUGCUUCAUGGAACAUAAUGCACACAGAUGCUUUUCUAAAAUAUACUCACAUCUUCGAAAAUAAAAUGAUUUGGC
rnacentral:lncRNA from 1 species